GCGUCUGAUUAGGUAGUUGGUAGGGUAACGGCCUACCAAGCCGACGAUCAGUAGGGGGCGUGAGAGCGUGACCCCCCACACGGGUACUGAGACACGGACCCGACUCCUACGGGAGGCAGCAGUAAGGAAUAUUGGUCAAUGGGCGGAAGCCUGAACCAGCCAUCCCGCGUGCAGGAUGAAUGCCCUAUGGGUUGUAAACUGCUUUUAUCUGGGAAUAAACCACUCUAUUUAUGGGGUGUUGAAGGUACCAGAAGAAUAAGCACCGGCUAACUCCGUGCCAGCAGCCGCGGUAAUAU
rnacentral:rRNA from 1 species